AGCUCCAAUAGCGUAUACUAAAGUUGUUGCGGUUAAAAAGCUCGUAGUUGAAGCCCUGGAGGUUUGACGUCGGUCGAGUGGUGAAAGCCCUUGUACAUGGCGACAGCUCCAUACCUUUCUAGAUCGAGCGUCGGCGCUUAAUUGAGCUGGCGUAGGGAGCAAUCCCGUUUGGCCUAGAUCGUUUACUGUGAGAAAAUCGGAGUGUUCAAAGCAGGUAUUGCCUGAACGUGUUAGCAUGGAAUAAUAGAAUAGGACUUUGGACCUAUUUUGUUGGUUUAUAGGACCAGAGUAAUGAUUAAUAGGAACAGUUGGGGACAUUUGUACUUCGUGGCUAGAGGUGAAAUUCUUAGAUUCACGGAAGACAAACAUAUGCGAAAGCAUUUGUCAAGGAUGUUUUCAU
rnacentral:rRNA from 1 species